CAGGCCAAGAAAUAGUACAUUCGAUACCCAGAAGCACCAAGGCACAUGUUUGUCUUUCUUUCUUUUUUUUUUUUUUUUGGUCUAUGAAAUUGCCAAAGAUUAUUAAUUUUUUUAGUGUAUAUAUAUGUUUAUAUACAUACUAAAUAUAUGUGUUCAGUAUAAUAUAUGUACAUAUAUUUAGUAUAUAUAAAUAUAUUAUAUAUUUAAUAUAAUCGAAUAUAUAUAUUGUUUAUUGGUGUUCGAUUUGCCAACAUAUAGUAUAACACCCAGUGCUCAUCCCGUCAAGCUUGUCUUUCCUGCGGGGAGCUUUCUCCAAGGAGUAUGGAGCAGAGGGGCGGGUCCACUGGGAAAAGUGGAGUCAGCAAUCCAGAUCCCACCCUGAAUUCCAUUCUGCCCCUGCUUGCCCUUUGAGGUUCUGAGGCCUUGGGCACAUUACUUAACUGUGAGAGCUUCGCUUGGAGAGCCUUUCGGUUUCUUGUCUUUGAAGUGGAAGAUUGUUAUGUAGAUUAAAUGAGAUGCUUCUUUUGAUAAAGUCCAGAGUCUGGUGUCUGGUACCAAGUAGGUGCCAAAGCAAGAAGCUGUUGUUUUUAUUAUGGUGAGAGCUUUUGAACAGGGAAUUCAGAAACAUGGUCCUGGGGCUCUGCUAGUCAGACCUGUGAUUCCAGGCAGGACAAGUCUUGGGCCCCAGCUUCCUCGAGGGGGAAGGAAAUAGGGUAGACUCCCUAGAAAGGCAAACUUCCUUUCUUUCCAGCUCUAGCCCUUUGUAAUUCUGCGAAUCAUUAAGCUAAGGAGAAUGGGCUGUGAGGAAGCAAGAAGGCAAUACAAGGACUCAGUGGCCCAAGACUGGUCUGGGGCCCACCUGCCUCAGCAUGUUAACUGGACACCAUCUUUCUAUCCAGACACCAAUUCCUUCCCGUCCCGGGGAGAAGGAUAACGUGUUGGAGAAAACAGUAACGCGACUUUGCAAAAUUCCAGCUCAGAGCAGCCUUCGGUUGAUUAUUUCUCUAAAUAGUGGUGAUGACGCGGGGAGGAAGAGUCAUUUCUUUACACCCAAAGAAUGGCUAUUUUUAUGACAUCCCAAGACAAGAAAAAUGAGGGCUCUGCACACUGCUCCUGACUGCUUCUGACCGACCAAAAAGGAAACGUUUCCUGUGGACGAGAAGACGUUUUGAGUUUCUCCUGCUGGCAAUGUGUACUUUUUCCAGACUUUUGUUGAAAUCUCUGAUUCGUAUGGCUCCGUGUUGAGGACAGGGACUUGUGACAGGAACUCACAGUUGCUUUUGGACCACACACCUGCAUGAGGGUGCUGGCCUCCAGCCCUCCUCAGAGUCUGAUCAGGGCAGGGGUGCGGGUAACAUUUAUUUUGGCUACUACCGCGGGUCUCUGCUUCUUGGUUAUGAGCAGCAAGUCUGGG
rnacentral:lncRNA from 12 species